CUUCAUGCGGCUGAUGACAGCACUCUUGCUGAGACUCUGUGAUUGCUCUGUCUCAAAGUAAACGCCCUGACACAUUGUGG
ensembl:snoRNA SNORD105B small nucleolar RNA, C/D box 105B